UACGUAGGUGGCAAGCGUUGUCCGGAAUUAUUGGGCGUAAAGCGCGCGCAGGCGGUCCUUUAAGUCUGAUGUGAAAGCCCACGGCUCAACCGUGGAGGGUCAUUGGAAACUGGGGACUUGAGUACAGAAGAGGAAAGCGGAAUUCCCAGUGUAGAGGUGAAAUUCGUAGAUAUUGGGAAGAACACCGGUGGCGAAGGCGGCUAUCUGGACCGACAUUGACGCUGAGGCGCGAAAGCCAGGGGAGCGAACGGG
rnacentral:rRNA from 1 species